rnacentral:rRNA from 1 species
UACAGAGGUCUCAAGCGUUGUUCGGAUUCAUUGGGCGUAAAGGGCGCGUAGGCGGCGGGGUAAGUCGGGUGUGAAAUCUCAGGGCUCAACCCUGAAAAUGCACUCGAUACUGCUCUGCUUGAGGACUGGAGAGGAGACUGGAAUUCACGGUGUAGCAGUGAAAUGCGUAGAUAUCGUGAGGAAGACCAGUGGCGAAGGCGGGUCUCUGGACAGUUCCUGACGCUG